rnacentral:rRNA from 1 species
GACGAACGCUGGCGGCGUGCCUAAUACAUGCAAGUAGAACGCACAGUUUAUACCGUAGCUUGCCACACCAUAACCUGUGAGUUGCGAACGGGUGAGUAACGCGUAGGUAACCUGCCUGGUAGCGGGUGAUAACCAGUGGAAACGAUAGCUAAUACCGCAUAAAAUUGAUUAUUGCAUGAUAAUUGAUUGUAAGAUGCUAUUGUAUCACUACCAGAUAGACCUGCGUUAUAUUAGCUAGUAGCUGAGGUAACGGCUUACCUAGGCGACGAUACAUCACCGACCUGGAGGGACGGACGGCAAAACUAGGACAUAGGAAAGGCCGAGAGACCUACGGGGAGAAGCAAUAGUGUAUCAUCUGCAAAAGAUGAAAAUCUGAACGCGCAACGCCGCGUGAUUGAAGAAGGUUUCCGGGUCAUAAAGCACAGUUGUUAGAGAAGAACGGGUAUGAGAGUGGAAAGUUCACACUGUGACGGUAUCUGAAUAGAAAGGGACGGCUAACUACGUU